rnacentral:tRNA from 1 species
GUUUUAAUAGUUUAAUAAAAACAUUGGUCUUGUAAAUCAAAAAUAAGUUUAUCUUUUAAAACU